CUGUGGACGCCCUGUCCACAGGCGGGUGGGGACAGACACCCCACCCCCCACGACCUGCACAUCUGGAUCCUGCCCCCGUCUCCCUGCCACUCCCUUGGCCCAGUGCCUGCUGCUGGGGCCCCCACGGUCCCUUCUAUGGGCUACCUCUGGGGCUACUGGAACAGCUGUGUGAGGCCCCGACUCAGGACACAGGGCUCCCUGCCGUGUGCGUGCCUUACACCCGGAGGGACCCCGGGCAGCUGGGGACACGGGACCUCGGAGCUGGACACCCUCCGAGCUCAAGUCCAAGGAGAGAGUGCAGGCCACCAGCCCAGGGAGGAAGCCCCCUCAGCGUGAGGACACCUAACGUGGUGAGCGUGCCAUGCAGCCGUUGUCCGCAGGUCCGGGCAGUGCAGCAGAGGUGGGCAGCACCGAAACGACCUCCGGGGCAGCCGCCCGGCCACGCUCCUCUCCCGGGAGUCGGGCCAGUCUGGACUCCGCCGCACAGCGGCGUCUGCACAUCCGCGCAGCAGGUGGGACCAGGCUCACUGAGCUCCCCUUAACGUCCCCCAGGACCCCCCACCCUGCUGCGCACCUACGCGGGGUUCCCUUCCUCUCAAAGCGGCUGACAGCCCACUGCGUGCGAAUGCCACACGGUCCUCACCCGUUCACCCGCCGGUGGACAUCUGGGCCCUGUGUCUGUCCUGGCUGUCGCGGGCAGGGCCGCAGCGCGCAGGCCGGGGCUCCUGCCGCUCCCCGGUCCCGGCGUUCGGGCCGCUGCCCACGGCUGGGACGACCGAGCACAAGGCAACAAGUACCCGCGGGCUUCACGGGGGUGCUCACAGGGGCGCCCACGAAACGCCCCCCUCGCCACCCUGAGCGACGCGGCUGCGAAUGACUUCCGUGUCUACGGUUCGCUCUUACUGAUGAUCUGCAAUGUUGGCGUUCUUCUUUCCUAAGGGUGGGUCUGAGGUAGAAUUGUUUCAGCAUUAAACAUUUGUGGAAAGAGGCUACAUUGUACAAGAAGAAAAAACAUUUCCAGUCGUGCUACUAGCGCUUCCUUAGCUGUUUGCCACGCUUCUGAAUGUCCUGUGAGUUUUACAGUCUGCUGGUUUAGAACCCGCCGUGAACUUAUUUUCGUCAAUGACAACUGGUGCCUGUGGACAUGUCUGUCCCUACACAGAAAACAAACAGUGACGGAGUAUAAUGAAAGACACACUGGGAAGUUUAUCUAAUGGAAACACCCACACCAGUCUGUGUCCUCGGGCUGUAAGAACACGCUCUGUCCUCUGGUUUGACGAGAAGACAAAGGUGAAGAACCUGAAAGGGUUGGUCCCAUGUCACGCUCCUCAGUGUGCGGGGCCCCUUCGGGGAGAGCUGGGCAGGUUUUGCCUGCUGGGGAAUCCGUGCGGGCACCUGCAGCGCCGCCAUGUCCACGAGGCAGGAGACGGCCUCCGUGCGAGGUCACAGCACCCGCCGUGGGCGCUCCCGCGCGUCCUGCCUCCUGCCUGUCACAGCGAACAUCAGACCCGGCCUGCUGCAGAGACGCUCCCCACACUUCCUGCAGCCUUUGAGAACAGCCUCUUCCGACCAGGCGGGUACUUAGCACCAGGACGGGGGGUGACACGAAGGCCUGCUGGGAUGGGGCCCCCCCGCACCACACACAUUGGGUUAGAAACGAAGAGGGAGCCAUCCCCAGGGGCAGUGCCCACCGGGCGAAGGUGGCGUCUGGGUGAGCGGUAUUUAUUUUCCUUCCUGUAUUGUCUGCAUUCUUCUGUAAGGAGCCGGGGUUGUUCUUAUAACCAUUAAAAAAAGCCAUCUGAGCCCUGGCUGGUGUGACUCAGUGGAUUGAGCACGGGCCUGCAAACCAAAGGGCCGCCAGUUCGAUUCCCAGUCAGGGCACACU